rnacentral:rRNA from 1 species
GACGAACGCUGGCGGCGUGCUUAACACAUGCCAGUCGAACGGAAAGGCCCCUUUGGGGGUACUCGAGUGGCGAACGGGUGCGUAACACGUGAGUAACCUGCCCUUGCCUUCGGGAUAACUUCAGGAAACUGGGGCUAAUACCGGAUAGGAAUCCUUUCUGCAUGCUGGGGGUUGGAAAGCUUCGGCGGGUUUGGAUGGACUCGCGGGUUAUCAGCUUGCUGGUGGGGUAGUGGCUUACCAAGGCUUUGACGGGUAGCCGGCCUGGGGGGGCGACCGGCCACAUUGGGACUUAGGUACGGCCCAAGCACCUACGGGGGGGAGCAGUGGGGAAUAUUGCCGCAUGGGCGGAAGCCUGGUGCAGCAACGCCGCGGGCGGGAUGACGGCCUUCGGGGUGGAAACCGCUUUCAGCAGGGGCGGAGCUUGUGGUGACGGUACCUGCAGAAGAAGCACCGGCUAACUACGUG